AUGCCACUUUGGACAGAUCAAAUUACAAAUGCUAAGUUUAUUGUUGAUGUAUGGAAAAUUGGAGUUAGAGCUGUUAAAGAUGUGAAAGAGAUUGUGAGAAGAGAAAUUAUUGAAGAUUGUGUAAGGAAAAUAAUGAAUACUGAAAAGGGAAAGGAAAUGAAGAAAAAUGCUAUGAAAUGGAAAAUUUUGGCUAAGCAUUCUGUCGAUGAGGGUGGAAGUUCUUAUAAGAAUAUUCUUGAAUUUGUGAAUGAACUAACUUUCUACUAA